GACACGAUGGCCGAGCGGUCUAAGGCGGUAGAUUUAAGUUAAUCUAAGUUAAAUCUCUACUGGGGAAACCCGCGUGAGUUCGAACCUCACUCGUGUCA